rnacentral:rRNA from 1 species
UACGGAGGGGGCUAGCGUUGUUCGGAAUUACUGGGCGUAAAGCGCACGUAGGCGGCUUUGUAAGUUAGAGGUGAAAAGCCCGGGGGCUCAACUCCGGAAAUUGCCUUUUAAGACUGCAUCGCUAGAAUUGUGGAGAGGUAAGUGGAAUUCCGAGUGUAGAGGGUGAAAUUCGUAGAUAUUCGGAAAGAACACCAGUGGCGAAGGCGACUUACUGGACACAUAUUGACGCUGAGGUGCGAAAGCGUGGGGAGCAAACAGG